rnacentral:lncRNA from 1 species
UAGGGGAAAUGUAACUCUCCCUUAAUUUUAGAUCCUCUUUUUAUCUUGCUUCAGGCAUAGGCUCCAAGAGACGGGCAUAUAACAUAAAUGCUGAAUUUACUUCUCCAAAUACGCAAAGAAUAUGGCUAUGUGCAAUAAACAUCACUAAGAGCAUGGCUGAAGACAACGAGAAAAAUCGAUCAUAAAGUAUUACUGGAAACCCAGAGUCGGCUGAUUGAGAGGCAUUUGAAGAGGUCUGUCCAAAUAACUACCUUCCUGACACGAGGGCCCCGAGAAGCCAAGAGGAGCUGUUCAAGAGGAGCAGUGGAGACUGCACGCAGGAUGAAAUCCAGAAACUGAUCGAACUCAGCCUUGUCACGUUGAGGAAAAGUGAAUUUCUAACAUCCAGGACGUGCCUGUCGACUUUCAGCGAAUUGCAUCCAAUCACCCCCAGGGAAUUCAGCUAAUGUCUCAGUCUAAACCGGGAUGAGGGGAGAAAAACAAAUCAAACAUUGUCCGGAGUCACGCUUAUUAUGAAAAUGUUUUAAAGGAUAGAGAAGGGAAAUAAUUCAAGACAACCCAGAAUAAAGUUUUAGAC